rnacentral:rRNA from 1 species
UUAAGACAGCACCGGCUAAUCUACGUAACAGCAGCCGCGGUAAUACGUAGGUGUGCGAGCGUUAAUCGGCAUUUACUGAGUGUACAGCGUGCGCAGGCGGUUUGUAAGACAGGCGUGAAAUCGCCGGGCUCUACCUGGGAAGUGCGUUCUGACUGCAAGGCUAGAGUAUGGCAGAGGGGGGUGGAGUUGCACGUGUAGCAGUGACAUGCGUAGAGAUGUGGAGGAACACCGAUGGCGAAGUCAGUCCCCUGGUCCAAUACUGACGCUCAUGCACGAAAGCGUGGGUAGCAAACAGGAUUAGAUACCCUGGUAGUCCACGCCCUAAACGAUGUCAACUAGGUGUUGGGUGGGUAAAACCAUUUAGUACCGUAGCUAACGCGUGAAGUUGACCGCCUGGGGAGUACGGCCGCAAGGUUAAAACUCAAAGGAAUUGACGGGGACCCGCACAAGCGGUGGAUGAUGUGGAUUAAUUCGAUGCAACGCGAAAAACCUUACCUACCCUUGACAUGUCCAGAAGCUCUUAGAGAUUUGAGUGUUCCCGAAAGGGAGCUGGAACACAGGUGCUGCAUGGCUGUCGUCAGCUCGUGUCGUGAGAUGUUGGGUUAAGUCCCGCAACGAGCGCAACCCUUGUCGUUAAUUGCCAUCAUUGAGUUGGGCACUUUAACGAGACUGCCGGUGACAAACCGGAGGAAGGUGGGGAUGACGUCAAGUCCUCAUGGCCGUUAUGGGUAGGGCUUCACACGUCAUACAAUGGUCGGUACAGAGGGUUGCCAAGCCGCGAGGUGGAGCCAAUCCCAGAAAGCCGAUCGUAGUCCGGAUCGCAGUCUGCAACUCGAUUGCGUGAAGUCGGAAUCGGUAGUAAUCGCGGAUCAGCAUGUCGCGGUGAAUACGUUCCCGGGUAUUGUACACACCGCCCGUCACACCAUGGGAGCGGGUUCCCCCAGAAGUAGGUAGCCUAACCGCAAGGAGGGCGCUUACCACGGCGGGGUUCGUGACUGGGGUGAAGUCGUAACAAGGUAGCCAAUCUCUGAAGAUCGCGGUCUAGUUUC